CCACGCCCGACAACCGCCGACAGUCCGUAGAAAGAGAAGGAGAAGAGCUGCUGUACAGGAGCUGAAAACGUUUUCCGACACGGAACAAUGGCACAGCAGAACCACUCCUCUUUAGAAUGACAUGCCGGCUUUGAGGAAGUGCUGGUGUAGAAUGUUACUUGAGAACUCCAGCCCAAGGGGUUUAGACUUUAUUGAGCCAUUAAUGAGAAGACAGAGUAAAGACUUGGAACAAAAAAUGUCUUGCUAUUCUGUUCCAUAGCACUGCGUCAAUGCAGAUUUUUACUUUUAGAAGAAACGUCAGCCACCUUCUCCAACAUCCAGCACAGGGCACUGAUGAGCAGCAGCACACAGAAUCCUUCAGCAUCUUACCGACGCAGAGAAGUGGUGCGCUGAGAACAUUUCUGUGUUCAGGCAGCACAUCUCACUCCCUUCAUUACUGUCAAUGGAGAAAGACGACAUUGAGGAGGCCCUUCAGAAAUUUGAUUUGCUAUCUGAAUUUCCAGAAGAAGAGGAGAGGGAAUAUGUCUUUAGACAUAAUCCUUUUUUCACAUAUGGAAGACAUGCAUCUGUUUUUAGAUGAUGUGAGAGGAAAAAGGAAAAUAGAUAGACUUUGUAUAAUGUUAACAUUUAC